CCGCCAGAGCCCACACUCAAGAUGGCGGCCGGGAGCGCUCUUUUUCCCUGUCCCCUUAGGCCCUUCCGUCAUGCUCCGUGCUUAUGGCGCCGGAAGCGGCGGGAGGCUUUAGAGAGCGGACUCGGCGGAGCGGAAGUCGCUGAGGUGGACGGAGGUGGCGGCAGCGAGCGACGAUGAACAACAAAUUCGACGCAUUGAAAGAUGAUGAUAGUGGAGACCAUGACCAGAAUGAGGAGAAUAACACACAGAAAGACAGUGAGAAGGAAAAGAAUGAUCGAGAGAAACCACAGAGUACUACCAAGAGGAAGGCUGUUGUCCCAGGGCCAGCUGAGCACCCCUUGCAGUAUAAUUACACCUUCUGGUACUCCAGACGAACACCCGGGAGGCCUACCAGCUCGCAGAGUUAUGAACAGAAUAUCAAACAGAUUGGCACCUUUGCCUCCGUGGAGCAGUUCUGGCGGUUUUACAGUCACAUGGUACGUCCUGGGGACCUGACAGGCCAUAGUGACUUCCAUCUUUUUAAAGAAGGGAUCAAACCCAUGUGGGAGGAUGAUGCCAACAAAAAUGGUGGUAAAUGGAUUAUCCGUCUGCGAAAGGGCUUAGCGUCACGAUGCUGGGAGAAUCUCAUUCUGGCAAUGUUGGGAGAACAGUUUAUGGUGGGGGAAGAAAUCUGUGGGGCAGUCGUCUCUGUCCGAUUCCAGGAGGAUAUUAUCUCAAUAUGGAACAAGACAGCCAGCGACCAGGCCACAACAGCCCGGAUACGCGAUACGUUACGAAGAGUGCUCAACCUACCUCCCAACACCAUCAUGGAAUAUAAAACGCACACCGAUAGCAUCAAGAGAGACCAGACCUGUGGCCAUACAGCGGGCUGCCACUGAGCGGGCUGGUCUGGAAGUAUUUUGGUUGCUGUAUGACUUUAUGGAUCAUCCUGUCAGCUCUAAAGCAAGGCUGCUUUUUCUGAAAACAAAGCUCCAGUUAUUUGGAUAAUUCAAGCUUUCGAAACACAAAAAUCACAUUGUGAGAACAAGAGUUGGCACUAAGCUCCUCUCUCCGUGUUGAAAGCACUGAGAGGUCUCCACCAGUGCCCUCUGACCUCUGAAGGGACUCAUGGGCCACUCUCGCACUCCUCCUUGAAGGAAGGAUCCAUCUGAAGCCCUCCAGCAGCGGUGACAAUAGAGGCUGAUUUUGUCAUACACAAACUUUUUUUAGCAGUGGGGCGGGAGGCCAACCUUUCAAUUAGCAGUGUGCCCUUGGGGCCGCAUCUUGCAGCACUUUCCUCUCUUUCUCUACAUGGCAUGCAGGAUCUCUGGGAUUCUGCCUCGACGUCAGAGCCUUUUGCUGAGGGAUACCAGUAUUACAAAUCUCUCUGCAGCUGGGAGGAGCUUCCCAGUUGAGAGUCAGCCCUAUGGUUUUCAAAUGCCCCCUUUCAGCUCUGCCAAUAAAUUAUUGGGUCUCUUUGUU